rnacentral:rRNA from 1 species
GACAGAGGGUGCAAACGUUGUUCGGAAUUACUGGGCGUAAAGGGCUCGUAGGCGGCCAACUAAGUCAUACGUGAAAUCCCUCGGCUUAACCGGGGAACUGCGUCUGAUACUGGAUGGCUUGAGAUUGGGAGAGGGAUGCGGAAUUCCAGGUGUAGCGGUGAAAUGCGUAGAUAUCUGGAGGAACACCGGUGGCGAAGGCGGCAUCCUGGACCAACACUGACGCUGAGGAGCGAAAGCCAGGGGAGCAAACGGG